rnacentral:lncRNA from 1 species
CACCAAGUUCUGUCGGUUCUACCUCUCCUAAAGCUCUUCCUCACCUCCUCCUGCUCUCAGGUGUGGUUUAGACUUUCAUCAUCUCAAACUAAUUUGCCCAACUCUAGUUCUUCCCCUUUAUUGGCCAUUAGUCAGUCCUCUCUCACCACGGGGGUUGCCUUCCUAAGAAGAAACAGUCACACUCCGUGGUCUGGUCAUUGGCCAUCCACCCCCUAAUCACUUUAACAGCCUUCCCACCGCCAUCCCUCUUUAUAACCCUUCACCUGAGCCCAAAUAUGCCUUAUAACUGCACUCUUGCCUCUAUGCAGAUUGUUGUUUUCCCAUUACAACUACUCAUGUGUAAGAAUCCAACCUCAGAAGUCAAAAGUUUAAAUGACAACACCAAAUGUUGGAGAGGAUGUGAAGCCCGACUGCCAGUGAGAGUGCAGAAUGGAGCAACCACUUUGGCAAAAGGCAUGGAAGUUUCGUAUAAAGGUCUGCUAAGUAGCAUGGAGUAGUAGCUAACAGCAUGAACUUUAAACCAGACUUUCAAGGUUUGCACCUGGGCUCUACCACCUUUUAAC